rnacentral:rRNA from 1 species
GAUGAACGCUGGCGGCGUGCCUAACACAUGCAAGUCGAACGAACAGGUGAGGAUCUUGCUCCUCUGACGUUAGCGGCAGACGGGAGAGUAACACGUGGAUAACGUACCUAUAAGACUGGGAACACCUCGGGAAACCGGAGCUAAUACCGUAUGAUAUAUUGAACCGCAUGGUUCAUUAGUGAAAGACGGUUGUGCGGUCACUUAUCGAUGGUUCUGGGCCGCAUUAGCUAGUAGGUACGGUAACGGCUUACCACGGCAAGCAUGCGUGGCCGACCUGAGGGCGUGUUGGGCCACUGUGGGAGUGAGACGCGGGCCAGACUCCGACGGGCGGCAGCAGCAGGGACUCGUCGGAGAUGGGCGAAAGCCUGACGGAGCAACGGCGGGUGGGUGAUGAAGGUCCUCGGGCGGGAAAACUCUGUUAUUAGGGAAGAACAAAUUCGUAUGUAACGAAGCACGAGUGGAGGGAACCUGAACAGAAGCCCACGGCUAACAACG